rnacentral:misc_RNA from 1 species
GGAGAAACUAAGAAAGGUGGUGUUGGUGCUGACUCACUACUCAACGGCUAAGUGUUUUAGAGUUAAUCAAAUUAAAGUCGGACGUCGCGCCGGAGCUAGUGCCGUCCGCCGGAAGUGUAGCCGGAGAAAGGAGGAAGAGGGACGGAGAAAAUAAUGGGAAAAUAGGAAGAGGAAAAGGGUUUAAGCGUUAGAGUAAUUUGAUUGAAUCCGACAUCAUGUUGUUGAACAUGGGGA